rnacentral:rRNA from 1 species
AUUGAACGCUGGCGGCAGGCCUAACACAUGCAAGUCGAGCGGAUGAAGGGAGCUUGCUCCUGGAUUCAGCGGCGGACGGGUGAGUAAUGCCUAGGAAUCUGCCUGGUCGUGGGGGAUAACGUCAGGAAACGGGCGCUAAUACCGCAUACGUCCUGAGGGAGAAAGUGGGGGAUCUUCGGACCUCACGCUAUCAGAUGAGCCUAGGUCGGAUUAGCUAGUUGGUGGGGUAAAGGCGUACCAAGGCGACGAUCCGUAACUGGUCUGAGAGGAUGAUCAGUCACACUGGAACUGAGACACGGUCCAGACUCCUACGGGAGGCAGCAGUAGGGAAUAUUGGACAAUGGGCGAAAGCCUGAUCCAGCCAUGCCGCGUGUGUGAAGAAGGUCUUCGGAUUGUAAAGCACUUUAAGUUGGGAGGAAGGGCAGUAAGUUAAUACCUUGCUGUUUUGACGUUACCAACAGAAUAAGCACCGGCUAACUUCGUG